rnacentral:lncRNA from 1 species
UGUAAAAUUCAUAUCGAUUUAUAAAUAAAAAUCUAGACCAAUUAAACUUUUUUUGAACAAGCAAGCUAAGGUGAGAAAAGUAACAUCAUCUUUGAAAAACUUAUAUCAUAUAAAUCCGCUAGAAGAUUUGCAGCAUGCAUCUAACAUAAGAGUUAUAUCACUUGUUCACCAUAAACAUUUAAUUUAUAUGUAACUUUAAAAACACUGAAGCAUAAACCAAAACAUAAAGACCUGUGACAUGUCAACAAAAAACAAGCGAAGAUUCUGUUUGGCAUAUGGUAUGUUUGACUACACGAUUUCAGCACACAGGCAAAUGACAAAUUCUACUAUUUUUGUAAAACAAAGUUGCUUUUAAUUUGUUAUUAAAUUUGGUUGGAAAAAUUCAACGACUAAACUCUUCUUUUCCACAAUAAAUUACUUUAACAUAAUUUACGAAAUAGCUGAAAAUAAUAAGUCAACAAAACACAACUUUAUAGAGCUAUAGUUUUCAUAACUUCAAAACUUUUAGCUGAUUUAAGUUGAUUGUCACAUUUUUGAUUAAAUCCAUAUAUACUAGCUACUAAAAAUAAAUUUAGAUAUACAAACUGCUUGGAGGUUGUAAAAACAGUUAUUGAAAAACUUAAAAACCUAAAUUAAUUGUUAAUAUAUUGAUUAAUUCCAUAUGCUAGCCUAAUAAAACUAGAUAUUCAGACAUCUAUAAGGUUGGAAAAACUUUACAACAGUUUUUUUUUUAUUUUUAAAAACUUGAAGAUCAUAAAAAACAAUCAAUAAUUUGUGUUAGUUAUGUUCUCUUAAUAUUAGAUUAUAUAUAAUUUUCUUCUGAAAACUAAAUCAAAAAUCUGUAACCCUUGACAUAACCCUAGAUUCACCAACAAAUAAUGACACACCUCGCCGUUCGUGUAUUACAAUUCCAUAAUAUAAAGUAACAAAUAUAUCUAAUCCUUUACUUUCAAAUAAAACUAAAAAUAAAACCAGAUUCAAUGCAUAAACCAGAACGCCAUCACAUAUACAGCAAACGAAACAACAUAUAUAAUAUGUGAAUAAACUACAAUCUGAUCUAAAACCUACUAGUUAAUCACAAUAUUAAAUACAUAACCCAAUCAUUUAAGGUAAACAACAUUAACAUGUACGGAUCUUAAAAAAUAAUACAAAUCAAAUCAGUAACAUAGCAUAAACCAAAACACCAUCAAAUAUACAUCAAAA